CGGCGCUCAGUCGGGUGACUUGGGCCUCCACUUCCCGCCGGAGUCGGUGCUGGGGACGCUUCUUCUCAGUGGAAAGGGCUUGGUGGUGGUCCCUGGAGGCCCCGGUGCAAGGCCACGCUUGUUCAAGAGGAUGUCUACCUUCUGCCCCUGCCCGGAUAAUGCGCCUUUGCAUUCCUCUUAUCUUUGUUUAAGAUUUAAAAAAAAAAAUGUGUUUUGCUUGCAAACUGUGUGUGUGCCCCGUGCCCGCUGGGGCCAGAAGAGGUCGUUGGAUAUUCUGAAACUGCCUCGUUCCUGCUUUCCAUCUCAACCAAACCUUCCUUCCCUGGCUGCCUGGCCCUGCCCUUGUUGUGACUGACUUUCAGGAAGAGAGCACUAGUCCAGGCGGCCAGAAAAAGAAGGGCUGGUCAAGAAGCACUCAACGAGAAUGCAGGGAAGCUACAGGCAGCCUCUUGACUUGGCUUCUGCCCCUGCCGUGUCUCUGAAUUUGCUGUGUGCCCUGGUAGAAGUUGCUGCCCACUCUGAGCUUCUGCCCCAUCCUUCAGACUACACACUGGGUAGUGGGGCAUGAAUAGAGAAAGAUGAAGCCCUUCUGGUCCGAACUUUGAACGCCUGGUAUUCAUUCCCUCUACUUCUAAAUUCUGACAGGACAUCCUAAAGGAGGCAUGAGACCUCAGGGAUGGAAGAGCUCAGGAUUCAGCAUGCAAAGGUGCAAGACUGUUCAUUAUUCUAGAUUAAAAACUAAGACGGAGAAACACAUCAGCUAGACUCUUUCAACACAUCAAGAUUACAAAAACAGUGCCCAGAGUGUGGGGUUCUAAGUGUGGGAGCCUGUCAGUCAUCUCACAGAGGACCCGGUGGCACCUGUGCCCCUCUUAAGACCUUGCAGCCUCCUCAAUUACAGGAGCGGAGCAGGGCCCUAGUGCUAAAGCCCUGGCAUUUAGGCUCCGUGGAGACCAACCACGCAGAAGAACCUCACCAGUUAAUAAGGAGGGAACCAAUCAGCUGUUUCUCCUUCCUAACAGGAUGCACUCAACUCGCCUAAGUGGACAAAUCAAAUACUUAUGGUAAAAACUCUGGCAGAGAAGAGGGGGAGCGAGCAGAAAAGAGGAGGGAGAGAAGUGGGGACAAAGGGGGAGGGAAGGGGAGGAUAAGGAAGAGAGGGAGUGGGAGGGAGGUGGAGGAAGGGGCAGCUAAGCCAAACCAGGCAAUGCAGGUUUGGUUUAGCAUCAAGAGUACCAUUCUCUUCCCCUGGUCUUGCUGGUGGAACAUGACCUAUACUUAAUUAUUUUAAUAGAACACAGAGCCAGGGCAGUGGUGGUGCACACAUUCAAUCCCAGCACUUGGGAGGCAGAGGCAGGCGGACAUCUAUAAAUUCGUGGACAGCCUGAUCUACAGAAUGAGUUCUAGGAUAGCCAGAGCUAUACAAAGAAACCCUGUUUUCAAAAACUAACCAGACAAACAAAAAACCAACACAGACAGAGUUAACUUGUUCACAGAUCUACAGUUGCUUUAAUCUUAAAAUUCAAAAAAACCAAAAUAACUUAAAAUGCUACAACUCAGGACUCUGAGUCAAGGAGGGGCUAGAGAUAGGUGGAUAAGAUAGAUAGGCAGGAGGUCAGCUCCUGAGGGAGCACCAGCCCCACCACCCACCCGGCACAGCAGCCCACACUGACAAAGUUAUUCGGGCGCAGGAAUGAGCAUGGGCGGGACGCGUGGCUCACUAGUGCAGCGCUUGCCUAGCAUGUACUAGCACGCCUUAUGUUCAAGCUCUAGUAGCAAGGAUUUGGGGGGAGGAGGACCUCAGCCACCAAGUCUGAUGACCUGAGUUUGAUAUUUGAAGCCCACAGGCGGAAAGAACCAACACUUGCAAGUCGUCCUCUGAUCACCACGUGCAUACUAUGACGCCCAUGUUUUAGCACAAAAAAAAAAAAAAAAAAUCUAAGAAAACCUAAAAAAAAAAAAAAAAAAAAAAAGGACAGGCAGGAAAAAAAAAAAAUCAAGGUUCAUUGGUGGUAAUGUCCCAAACUUCAGCUGCACCAAAAGACCAAACCUUAAAUUCCAGAACCUCAGAGGUAAGCUGGAAGAAGGUGAUUAGGAUAGGAAGGCAUCUGAAAACCAGGGCGCUGAGGCUGGAAGGCUGGAGACCCACAACAAUCAAAGGACGCUAAGCAGCCAUCUGCGAAGAGCUCCGCACACAAACUGCCGAACACCUAGAACACCUAUCAGAUGGACGAGCGAGGUAUCCUGCAGCUCUGCGAAGCAAGUGCCAAGGGCCUUUUCACUUCUAAAACCACUGCUUUGCUUCUUUCCUCUGAAGGAGGGGCUACCUGCGUAGACUACAGGCCCAGUCACUCGUUCAGUAGUCUUUAAUGAGUGGCUACAAUAUGCCAGGCAACGUGUGAGGUGGUAAGGUAUGGCAUGGCAGAAAACCUUAGGGGUGAGGUGAUGACCAGGUACUAAGCCAGUGAUUGCAUACACCUGUAUUUACAAGGGAAGCUCAAAGGAAAAGAGAGGAAAGUAAAGUGGGAAGGGACGGUACUGAAAGAAAGGCUAAAGAAAUCUAUCCAAGGUGUGUUUUCUGUACAGACUCGAACCCCACAUAGUAUGUGAUCAGGGCCCUUAACAGCAGAAGGAGCAGCCACGGCCAGGACUCGCAGUGGGAAGCGUGCUUGUGAAGGGAAGGCCUGAUGAGAUAGCUCAGUGGGUAAAAGGUACUUAACUUGAUGAACUGAGUUCAUUCCGGGGAUCCCCACAUGGUAAAGGAGGAAACUGACCCAGACAAGCUGUCCUUUGACCUCCACGGUUGCUCCAAGGCACAUGAGCAAAGGGACUUUGCUGUGAGCCGUGAAUGGUCAUGUUUUCUGGUAUUAAUGGGCCUAUGCUACACAAUGGGAGACAGCCUAUGGAAUGUCGCUUUGAUUAUUACCAUAGGGACAAUGUGACGUAGUCUGGUUUGGCUCCAGGCUUUUCCACUUAAGAACUAAGACUUUUUUUGUUUGCUGUUUUUGAGACAGGGUCAUAAACCUGAGACCAGGUGGUCAUAAACUCUAUGGCAAUUGAAGAUGAUCUCCAACUUCCGAUCCUCCUGCCUCCACCAUCCAAGUUCUAGGAACUCAGAGCUCACCAUCUGCCUUGACUGGGCACGGUAACACAUUCCUGUCACCUGAGCAUUUGGGAGCCUGAGGUGGAGAAUCAAGAGGCCAGGCCAGAUGGCUCCCUGUCCUGUGGAUGGCCACUGUUCUUCCCCAGGCCCUCCUUUGUGGAUAUUUGAGUGGCUUCCAAUCAUAGCUGUAAUAAAUAAUCAUGGACGCCGGGCGGCGGUGGCGCACGCCUUUAAUCCCAGCACUCGGGAGGCAGAGGCAGGCGGAUAUCUGUGAGUUCGAGACCAGCCUGGUCUACAAGAGCUAGUUCCAGGACAGGCUCCAAAGCCACAG